UGGGGAAUCUUGCGCAAUGGGGGAAACCCUGACGCAGCGACGCCGCGUGCGGGAUGAAGGCCUUCGGGUUGUAAACCGCUUUCAGCAGGGACGAGGCCUUAUGGUGACGGUACCUGCAGAAGAAGCUCCGGCUAAAUACGUGCCAGCAGCCGCGGUAAUACGUAUGGAGCAAGCGUUAUCCGGAUUCAUUGGGCGUAAAGCGCUCGUAGGCGGUCUGUUAGGUCGGCAAGUUAAAUCCGGGGGCUCAACCCCCGUCCGCUUCCGAUACCGGCAGACUUGAGUGUGGUAGGGGAAGGUGGAAUUCCUGGUGUAGCGGUGGAAUGCGCAGAUAUUAGGAAGAACACCGGUGGCGAAGGCGGCCUUCUGGGCCAUAACUGACGCUGAGGAGCGAAAGCUAGGGGAGCGAACAGG
rnacentral:rRNA from 1 species